rnacentral:rRNA from 1 species
AUUGAACGCUGGCGGCAUGCCUUACACAUGCAAGUCGAACGGUAACAGGUCUUCGGAUGCUGACGAGUGGCGAACGGGUGAGUAAUACAUCGGAACGUGCCCGAGAGUGGGGGAUAACGAAGCGAAAGCUUUGCUAAUACCGCAUACGAUCUCAGGAUGAAAGCAGGGGACCGCAAGGCCUUGCGCUCACGGAGCGGCCGAUGGCCGAUUAGGUAGUUGGUGGGAUAAAAGCUUACCAAGCCGGCGAUCUGUAGCUGGUCUGAGAGGACGACCAGCCACCCUGGGACUGGGACUCGGCCCAGACUCCUACGGGAGGCAGCAGGGGGGAAUUUUGGACAAUGGGCGCAAGCCUGAUCCAGCCAUGCCGCGUGCAGGAUGAAGGCCUUCGGGUUGUAAACUGCUUUUGUACGGAACGAAAAGACUCCUUCUAAUAAAGGGGGUCCAUGACGGUACCGUAAGAAUAAGCACCGGCUAACUACGUGCCAGCCGCCGCAGUAAGAC